rnacentral:rRNA from 1 species
UACGUAGGGUGCAAGCGUUAAUCGGAAUUACUGGGCGUAAAGCGUGCGCAGGCGGUUAUGCAAGACAGAUGUGAAAUCCCCGGGCUCAACCCUGGGAACUGCAUUUGUGACUGCAUAGCUGGAGUGCGGCAGAGGGGGGAUGGAAUUCCGCGUGUAGCAGUGAAAUGCGUAGAUAUGCGGAGGAACACCGAUGGCGAAGGCAAUCCCCUGGGCCUGCACUGACGCUCAUGCACGAAAGCGUGGGGAGCAAACAGG